UACGUAGGCAGCGAGCGUUGUUCGGAAUUACUGGGCGUAAAGAGUGUGUAGGCGGUGCUCUAAGUUCGGUGUGAAAUCUCCCGGCUCAACUGGGAGGGUGCGCCGAAUACUGAAUGACUAGAGUGCGGGAGAGGAAAGUGGAAUUCCUGGUGUAGCGGUGAAAUGCGUAGAUAUCAGGAGGAGCACCGGUGGCGAAGGCGGCCAUCUGGACGGAUACUGACGCUGAGACGCGAAAGCGUGGGGAGCAAACAGG
rnacentral:rRNA from 1 species